ACUGAUGUCUUUGCUACUUGACUAAUUGUUGUUGCUUCUACAGUAACUAUUGUCGCUUUUGCUAUUGUCAUUAUGUACAGCUACUUCUUCUACUACCGUUUUGUUGCCAAAUAGAAAUUAUUCGCACUUGACGUUAUUUUCUAAAUUAAAUUAAUUCGCACAUACGCAAUAAUAAUAUACAAACACACAUACAGAUAUACACAUGUAUGUAUGCAUUUGUGUUUGUGUAAGAUCGGAACAGCAAUUGUCUUCCCAACAAAGAGUCAAUUUGCCGAUCUCUCUUACAGCCAUGCCAUGCAUACACACAUACAUAUGCACAUAUACAGAGAACAAAGUCGUUGCCCAACACCACAGACCGCGACAUCCCGAUGGCGGCUAUUACGAAAUAAACGGAGAAUAAGAAUAUAAUGCGCAGCAAGGCAAUGAACAUGAAUGCACGCGCAGAGACAGGGGGCGAGAGAGAGAGAGAGAGCAGCACAGGAACCCACACACCCAGGCACAUGUGCAAAUAAACAUGCACACACAAAUGUAUGUAGGUACAUACAUUAAUUUCUGCAUGUAUAAACUGUUUGUAUAUGUAUGUGUUUGUAUAAUUUAAGUGUUUAUACACAUGUACAUAUGCAUGUAUUUACCAACACUAGCACAACAAAGCAGAACAACGUAUUAUCCCUUUUAUAGAAGAAAAUGCCAGCGGCGCAGCCAGCGUUCUUUCAACAAAAAUUCUUGAGAAAUGCUAAAUUUAGAGCGCCAACAACAACAGAUGCCGGGCAAGGGAGACCCCAAUCCACAAUCCCCAAUCCUCAAUCCCCAAUGACCAGUUGCAGCCGCAUUUGCAGUCACAGCCCGCAUCAAACACAAAAACAAUUUGCGCAGUUGCCCAGCCUGAGCAAUGCCAAUAUCAACAAAAACAACAACAACAACGAGUGUAACCAUCCAAAUCUGAAAAGACCAAAAGUUGAACUUUCCAUCCAAUAAGAGUUGGGUACGCCGACGACGGAAGCAUCAGGUUGUGGUAUGAGCGCGGUUCAUCAGACGGCGACGCGGCCAGUGUCCUCUAUAUAGCUUUGUAACUCUCAGAGCCGACGAACCCUGCCACGUCACGAACGCCAAAAUACUUCGAGAAUUUCAUUUGGUCGUUGACUCAAUAGAUGCAAUAAUAGCAUGAAAUUACACGCCAGCUCAAGGAGGGUUGGUCACCUAUGCAACUUAUGGAAACUAUCUCAAAAUGUGAUGCGAUUUUUAUGAAUUAUUAUAUAUAACUUUGUAUGGUUGUAUGUACAUAUUUAUUAUCUAAUAUAUAUAUAUUUAUAUCAAUUUAUAGCUCAGUUUUCAGGGAUUUUAAAGAAGACACUUCCAGAAGCUUCUUAGCUUUUUGGGAAAGUGAAACCUUGUAUAGUAGCCAUUGAUGCUUCUCGAAGCUUCCGCCAAAUCCCCAUAAAGCUAGCCCAUAGCUGAGGUAAACAAAACAUUGUGUUAGUACCAGUUCUAGUGUUGCCCAACAUAAACUCUAUAUUUUGAAAAUAUAAGUUGAAACGAUGUACAUACACAUGUUAUAAGUCGCAAUGUUGUGCUAUAUGUUAUAAGUCAAUCUACAGCUUGUCUGUCCCUGCUGCUAUAUUUAUAUUUGAAUUUAUUUCUUAUUAAAGUUUAAGU